rnacentral:rRNA from 1 species
UACAGAGGUCCCAAGCGUUACUGAGAAUCACUGGGCUUAAAGGGUGCGUAGGUGGUCCGUUAAGUCUGUUGUGAAAUCCCCGGGCUCAACCUGGGAAUGGCAAUGGAUACUGGCAAGCUAGAGUGUGAUAGAGGAUGGUGGAAUUCCCGGUGUAGCGGUGAAAUGCGUAGAGAUCGGGAGGAACAUCAGUGGCGAAGGCGGCCAUCUGGAUCAACACUGACGCUGAGGCACGAAAGCGUGGGGAGCAAACAGG